ensembl:lncRNA
GUCCGCCCAGCUGUGCGCCACUCUGUGCGCCACUGAAGUGAAAGUGAAAGUAACUGUAAUGCGGGGCGAGACGGAGUGAAAUAAAGGGUAAAAUCUCAGUGAAUCUCAGUCUUCAGUCUCCUGCAGGGUGAGUGAUCUCCAGGCAGCACUGCCUCUCCGCGCUGGCGCCGAUUCUACAGCAGGUAAACUCUGUUUAAGGUGAACACACCGCGCUGCGUCCACUGCAGGUCCGGAUCCGGACCGUUAUUUAUACAGGUCAGUCAUGCAGUCCUGCAGUUCUGCCCUUUGUGUCCUGAUCUUACUGAUAGGUACAGGCACUGAUGCCUCUACAUCGCUGGACUCUGCUGGUGCCAACGCUACAGCUAUUAACACCUCUACAUCGCUGGACUCUGCUGGUGCCAACGCUACAGCUAUUAACAGUAAGUGAGCAGUCAGAGGUCAGACUUCACUAUUCAGACAGCCAAACACAUGCUAA